UACAUAGGGUGCAAGCGUUGCUCGGAUUUACUGGGCGUAAAGCGUACGCAGACGGCAUGAAAGGUCGGACGUGAAAGCCCCGGGCUCAACCCGGGAAAUGCGUCCGAAACCGCCUUGCUUGAGUAUGAGAGAGGAAAGCGGAAUUCCUGGUGUAGAGGUGAAAUUCGUAGAUAUCAGGAGGAACACCGGCGGCGAAGGCGGCUUUCUGGCUCAUUACUGACGUUCAGGUACGAAAGCGUGGGUAGCAAACAGG
rnacentral:rRNA from 1 species